UAUUGGUAACUUAGCAACAAAAACAAAGCUUCAAAUUGUGAAACUGAGAGUAAAUAUCGCAGAGACCUCUGUCACUAUCAAUGCUCAUAAUUUUCCUUUUAAAUAAUGACAAAAUAGUUCAACUAUCACACUCAUAAUAUUAGUUCAACAAACAUUCAGCCCAUCUCUGGUGGGAUUAAAGAAUCCAGUGACUGAAAACUCAACCAACCUUAGAAAACACCAACCUGAAAAAUGACUCUUUGAUUGUAUAUUUCAGCCAUCAAUGAAUAAAUCACAGAUACUUCCUAACAA